ensembl:lncRNA
GCCCUAUUGGUGCUGUAUGGGAUAUGGGAGCCCUAUGAAUGCUGUAUGGGUGCUCUAUGGGAUAUGGUUGCCCUAUGGGUGCCCUAUGGGUGCCCUAUGGGUGCUGUAUGGGAUAUGGGUGCCCUAUGGGUGCCCUAUGGGUGCUGUAUGGGAUAUGGGAGCCCUAUGGGUGCCCUAUGGGUAUUCUAUGGGUGCCCUAUGGGAUAUGGGUUCCCUAUGGGUAUCACAGCCCCCUGACCGACCCCAAUCCCCCCCGCAGGCGCUGAGGCCAUGGCUGAGCCGUGCCCUAUGGGGUGUGGGUGCCCUAUGGGUGCCCUAUGGCUGCUCUAUGGGAUAUGGGUGCCCUAUGGGUACCCUAUGGGUACUCUAUGGGAUAUGG